rnacentral:rRNA from 1 species
UACAGAGGGGGCGAGCGUUGUUCGGAAUUACUGGGCGUAAAGGGCGCGUAGGCGGCCCGCUAAGUCGAACGUGAAAUCCCCAGGCUCAACCUGGGAACUGCGUCCGAUACUGGCAGGCUUGAAUCCGGGAGAGGGAUGUGGAAUUCCAGGUGUAGCGGUGAAAUGCGUAGAUAUCUGGAGGAACACCGGUGGCGAAGGCGGCAUCCUGGACAGUGACUGACGCUGAGACGCGAAAGCGUGGGGAGCAAACAGG